AGGCAGUGUCAUGUUAGCUGGUUGGUUCCGUUAGCACCAGUUUACCUGCCACUGCUCUC
rnacentral:pre_miRNA from 1 species